AACCCUUGUGGAGAAGGACGCCGAAGGUGGGGCUGAUGACUGGGGUGAAGUCGUAACAAGGUAGCCGUACCGGAAGGUGCGGCUGGAUCACCUCCUAACAGGGAGACAAUAAAUUGAUUGUGAUGUCUAAGUUAUUUAUUCUUAGGCCGCAAUCCUGUCACCUUAAGGUCGAUCGGUACCUCAGAUUUUUGAAUUAGUUUUAUAAUUGAUUCUUUGAUUUCAGUUCCUAAACUUGUCUAGGUCACACCCAACAAAGGUUUCUCCUGGGCCAUUACCUCUGGGAAGUAGAGCGCCCCCCCCUUAAGGAGAAGGUCCCUGAAUCAAGUGCUGAAGACUGCGUUGAAGUCGUAACAAAUAACCCGUACCGCCAGUCCGAAGUCGUCACCCAACCCUUGGGGGGAAGGACGCCGAAGGUGGGCCUGAAGACUGGGGGGAAGUCGUAACAAGGUAGCCGUCCCGGAAGGUGCGGCGGCCUCACCUCUUAACAGGGAGACAAAAAAGAUAUUGUGAUUGUAUUUAAGGUCAAGCUACAAAGGGCU
rnacentral:misc_RNA from 1 species